ACUCUUGUUCAUUUUCUGCUUUACUUGUUGCGUGAUUGUGGCUGGUAUGUGCCUUCUGUGUUGUUCCUUCUUUUGUAUGUGGGUUGCUGCUGCCAGGAGUUUUAUCCCAUGCUUUUGAUUAUCUGUUAAAAUGUUCUCAUCUUGCCUAUAUUGUUGUUUGUUUGUUCUUGCCUCUAUCUUUUGUAAUUCACUAUGUUCCCCAGUAGUUUCAUCUUCUUUCUGCCUGAUGUUAGAAGGUUGUUCUUCAUACGGCUGCUUAUCUCCAAUAGUAUUUUCCCCUAGCUUCAGAUCAUUACCCCAUGUGUUUCCUUCUCCUACUUCAGUGUCAUUGUUGUCAUCUAGUGUUCCAAAUUUGUUAGCUAUUUUUACCAUUCUAUCUUUUUGCUGCUCUUGUCUCGGGUUCCAGACCUGCUCCAUUCGUCCUUUAAAGUGUAAUCUACCUCUUUUCAAAUAGCUUUUCUUCUUUUGUUCCUGGAACUCACCAUCUUUCUUUCUCCCAUUACCUAUGUUGUCACUGUGACCCUAAUCACCUUGCUUGUUCUCAACUCUUAAACCCUUCCUGCAUUGGUAUCCUCAUUUGUAUUGUUUUUGUCCCUAUCCCCAUCUUUCUCUUCUUUGGGGUAUAAUUCUGGAUGAAGGAAAAACAUUCCACUUAUUGUGUUCCUGUAAUUUACAGUUUUUGUAGUAUUUUGGAACGUGGUCAUAUUUGAUAGUAAUCCACUUCUCCUUGAUUUCUCCUAUCUUCUUUCUCAUACCAAUAUUAAUUCUCCUUGGGAAUUCUCCUAGUAAAUCAACCUCCACUUUGACCCUAGCACAAAUUGGUCGAGUCUUAUUCUUUGUGGCCAAAUCCACUUGUAGAGGUUUCCUUACUGCAGCUGCCAUCGAAAAAAUUGCGUCCUUACCAAAAAAGUUUGGUGGCAGUGAUGGGAAUGAGAUCCAUGCGAUGGCUAUUAAAGUUUCUUCCUCCAUAUCAAAUAAAGGGUCCCAUUUAAGAGUUCGCAUGAGGUAGGUCUAGUGGUGGUGCAUUAUGUAAAACUGUGGUUUUGAUAGUAAGAUGACAUAAUCCUCCAUCUCUGUAGCCCGUAUGAGAACAUAUUAUGUUAGUCAGCAAUCCAAUAUUUACUUCUCCCUUUAGUUCACAUUGCUUUGGUAUUAAUUUCCUUAGGGCUUGUAUCUCAGGCCAUCAGUAGGAAAUUUUUCCUAUUACUGCAUAUUGUAAUUCUUUAUUUAAAAUCAUCUGAUGGACUUCCUCGAGAAAAUGACAUAAAUAGUCCCCCAACUAUAGGAGUAGGUCUAAAAUGGUCCCUGAACUAUACACUUAAUGGAUUUAGUCCUUCAAUUAUUCAAAAACUUGUCAGUUUUGGUCCCUUAACUAUACACUUAUCAAUUUUAGUCCCUUAACUAUAAACUUACCGAUUUUAGUCCUUUAAGUAUUCAAAAACUUAUCAAGUUUGGUCUUUGUCCUUUUUUUUUAAAUACAAAUAGCUUAGGUUUAUAUUAACAAAAUCUAUGCCUCGAGAAAUUAAAUCCUUUAGUCAACUUUUUUCUGUUGGUUCUCUCUCCGUUACUUUUUCUUCAAAUUAACCUUACGCGAAGAACCUUAACCUUAACGAUUUAAAAUAAAAUUCACGAGGAAAGAAAAUAUAAGUCAUAAUUUAUUCAAUAGCGGAUAAAAUGAAGAAUAUUAUUGUUACUAAUGACUUGAAUAUGUUAAACUUUAUUAUAAAAAGAAAAAAAUUAUUAUCCGUUAAAUCCAAAGUUUGUACUCCAACGAUUUCAUUGAACGGAAUUUGUUUAAUUUUUCAGAAAUGGUAAUUUAUAAAAUGGUAGGUUUGCAAUUUUUUAAACUUUUUAUUACAUAUAUCAAUUUUAUUAUUCUAUUCAUUUUAUUUUACAUAAAGAAAUUUGAGUAAAUUAAAUAAAAUUCGCAUUGAUUAGCAUGAUGCAUGAUAAGUUUCUCGAACAAAACUAUCAAAGUUUAGGAUGGACAAAGACCAAACUUGAUAAGUUUGUGAAUACUUAAAGGACUAAAAUCGGUAAAUUUAUAGUUAAGGGACUAAAAUCGGUAAGUGUAUAGUUAAGGGACCAAAGUUGAACUAAAUCCGUUAAGUGUAUAGUUCAGGGACCAUUUUAGACCUACUCCUAUAGUUGAGGGACUAUUUAUGUCAUUUACUCGGACUUCCUCCUUCUCCCAAAUUAUUCUUGGUUCUCCAUGUAGGUAUGCAACUUGCUUCAUCGGGAUUGGUUUGUUUGACUGUAUUGGCAAAGGUUGUUGAUGAGGGUUGUCCAGUGUUGGAUAGAAUAUGCAAAGUUGGCCUGGCUUCCGAUGGUGGUGGCUGACCGGCGGCAGAGAUUAGGUUUAGCUAAAAUUUCGAAAGAUUUCGUAAUCUUUCUAUAACUGAAUGAUUAUAUACUUAUUUAUUGGGGGGAAAAUACUAUCUACUAGGUUUAUAUUUCUCAUAAUGCAUUUUUGUUCUAACCAACCUAUAUGUAAUUAAAGGAAAAACAUUAACUUUUAUUUUAUACAUGCAUAAUUUAUUUAAGGUAUGAUAGACUACUGAUCACAAAUUAAAUAAAUGGUCAAACUCUUAAUAGAAAUUUUGAUUUAUUUU
rnacentral:lncRNA from 1 species